UCUAAAAUUCAAGAGCAUGGACAAACUUUCUGCCCGUUGGGGCAUAAUUUCUGUUUUUCGUCCUUGUCCGUGGAGAAGCCGUCUUCCUCCUCUUGCAGAAGCUCUCCGCAUGCAGCUGCCCAUUCUCGUAUCGCACGUCUGCAUCAACUCCUCUUCCACGUCUCUGUCGAGUUAUGACUUGUGACCUAAUUUUGGUGAUGGCUGGUCAAAUUUGUCGUGGGAAAGGGAAGGCUCAAUGAGGCAGCACAUUGUUGUAGACAGGCUUUAGCAGUCGCUGUCUGCAUAUGUUGCCAGCAACCAAAACUGGUUUGAUAUCGGCAUUUCCAAUGGGUUAAACACUUGCUAGAAGAUAGAGUCUAUACAUAGGAUUGAGUUGCAACUCAUUACCAAGAGAUUGGAGUAACUUCGGAUCGAUGAAGGCCGAGAGAGCAAAGUUUGCUGGCCUUAACACUCACCUUGGGAUAGAUGUUGAUUGGAGAAAAAAGAGGGGAUAUACUAGUCUUGAUCAUACACCUGAAAGCAGCACUUAUUAUGACCAUUUCCCUGGUUGGAUGGAAGGCACAAGGUAUGUUUGCACACUGAUACUUAGACACCAAUUAAAAAACUGAGUCGACUUAAAACCAGCUGAUGGAGGUUGAGAGUUCGAUUCUGCGAUAGUCUCUUGGCAUAAUCUGGUAGCUUUAAUUUAAUUUACAUCCAAAUUUCACUUACAUCCAAGAGAUGAAUGUUAGCCCAUAUUUGAAAAAGGAA